rnacentral:rRNA from 1 species
GACGAACGCUGGCGGCGUGCCUAACACAUGCAAGUCGAACGGAAAGGUCCUGCUUUUGUGCGGUGCUCGAGUGGCGAACGGGUGAGUAACACGUGAGUAACCUGUACCUGACUUUGGGAUAACUUCAGGAAACUGGGGCUAUUACCGCAUAGGAUCUCUUGCUGCAUGGUGGGCGUUGGUAAGUUUCGGCGGUUGGGGAUGGACUCGCGGCUUAUCAGCUUGUUGGUGGGGUAGUGGCUUACCAAGGCUUUGACGGGUAGCCGGCCUGCGCGGGUGACCGGCCACAUUGGGACUGAGAUGCGGCCCCGGCUCCUACUGGAGGGCGAAGUGGGAAAGAUUGCACAAGGAGCGGAGGCCUGAUGCUGCAACGCCGCGUGCGGGAUAACGGCCUUCGGGUUGUAGACCGAUUGCGCCUGUGACGAAGCGUGUGUGGCGGUAAUGGGUAAAGAAACACCGGCUUACUACGUG